UACGGGGGGUGCGAGCGUUGUCCGGAAUCACUGGGCGUAAAGGGCGCGUAGGUGGCGUCGUAAGUCUGUGGUGAAAGCCCCGGGCUCAACCCGGGAGGGUCGUCGUGAACCGGGGGGCUUGAGGCCGGUAGAGGUGGGUGGAACUCCUGGUGGAGUGGUGAAAUGCGUAGAGAUCAGGAAGAACACCCGUGGCGAAGGCGGCCCACUGGGCCGGUACUGACGCUGAGGCACGAAGGCGUGGGGAGCGAACGGG
rnacentral:rRNA from 1 species